UUGACUGGGGUGGUACACCUGCCAAACAGUAAUGCAGGUGCCCUAAGCCAGCUCAGGAGGACAGAAACCUCCCGUGGUGCCGAAGGGCAAAAGCUCACUAAGUCCUGAUUUUUCAGGAUGAAUACAGGCUGUGAAAGCAGAGCCUCAUGAUCCUUCUGACCUUCUGGGCUUUCAGCAGGAG
rnacentral:rRNA from 1 species